AUGGAAUUUCAUGUCUUGCUGUAUUUUGAAUAGGACGAGGAGAUGUGUCUGAUAAGAAUUUACUUAUCAAGAAGAACAGUUUUGGACAAGAGUAAGGAAAAAAUAUUUUGUGGAUACGUCACUUUGAGAUCACAGAAUGAAAGCAGCAUGAAAUGUUAUGGCAAAGACAGCACAAAAAGAUACAAGAAUCUCACAAAUCCUCAAAAAUCAGGUGCUUGGCACACUGAACUUACUGAUCUGUGUAGGAUUUGUGCUGUGGUCCAUUUCUUGAAGAUGUGAAACAACAUCGAGUCUGAGAUUGGAAUUACUGACAGACUGGAGGAAAUUUUAGUCCUUGUGAUGCACAUGGACAUGCUGAAUUAUAAGUAAUUCUAGCUUCUUCUCCCCUCCCCUCCCCUCCCCUCAGCUAUCUCAGGGUUCAUAGAGAUUUCAAUGGUUUGUGUGCCUGUAAGCU
rnacentral:lncRNA from 1 species